rnacentral:rRNA from 1 species
AUUGAACGCUGGCGGCAUGCCUUACACAUGCAAGUCGAACGGCAGCACGGGUGCUUGCACCUGGUGGCGAGUGGCGAACGGGUGAGUAAUACAUCGGAACAUGUCCUGUAGUGGGGGCUAGCCCGGCGAAAGCCGGAUUAAUACCGCAUACGAUCUACGGAUGAAGGCGGGGGACCUUCGGGCCUCGCGCUAUAGGGUUGGCCGAUGGCUGAUUAGCUAGUUGGUGGGGUAAAGGCCUACCAAGGCGACGAUCAGUAGCUGGUCUGAGAGGACGACCAGCCACACUGGGACUGAGACACGGCCCAGACUCCUACGGGAGGCAGCAGUGGGGAAUUUUGGACAAUGGACGAAAGCCUGAUCCAGCAAUGCCGCGUGUGUGAAGAAGGCCUUCGGGUUGUAAAGCACUUUUGUCCGGAAAGAAAUCCUUGGCCCUAAUACGGUCGGGUGAUGACGGUACCGUAAGAAUAAGCACCGGCUAACUACGUG